GAUGAACGCUGGCGGCGUGCCUAAUACAUGCAAGUCGAGCGAACAGACGAGGAGCUUGCUCCUCUGACGUUAGCGGCGGACGGGUGAGUAACACGUGGAUAACCUACCUAUAAGACUGGGAUAACUUCGGGAAACCGGAGCUAAUACCGGAUAAUAUAUUGAACCGCAUGGUUCAAUAGUGAAAGACGGUUUUGCUGUCACUUAUAGAUGGAUCCGCGCCGCAUUAGCUAGUUGGUAAGGUAACGGCUUACCAAGGCAACGAUGCGUAGCCGACCUGAGAGGGUGAUCGGCCACACUGGAACUGAGACACGGUCCAGACUCCUACGGGAGGCAGCAGUAGGGAAUCUUCCGCAAUGGGCGAAAGCCUGACGGAGCAACGCCGCGUGAGUGAUGAAGGUCUGCGGAUCGUAAAACUCUGUUAUUAGGGAAGAACAAAUGUGUAAGUAACGAUGCACGUCUGGACGGUACCUAAUCAGAAAGCCACGGCGAACUACGU
rnacentral:rRNA from 1 species